rnacentral:rRNA from 1 species
UACGUAGGGUGCAAGCGUUGUCCGGAAUCACUGGGCGUAAAGCGCACGUAGGCGGCUUGUUAAGUCAGGGGUGAAAUCCUGGAGCUCAACUCCAGAACUGCCUUUGAUACUGGCGAUCUUGAGUCCGGGAGAGGUGAGUGGAACUGCGAGUGUAGAGGUGAAAUUCGUAGAUAUUCGCAAGAACACCAGUGGCGAAGGCGGCUCACUGGCCCGGAACUGACGCUGAGGUGCGAAAGCGUGGGGAGCAAACAGG